UACGUAGGUGGCAAGCGUUGUCCGGAAUUAUUGGGCGUAAAGCGCGUGUAGGCGGUUCAGUAAGUCUGCUGUGAAAGUCCAGGGCUCAACCCUGGGAUGCCGGUGGAAACUGCCGGGCUUGAGUGUGGGAGAGGUGAGUGGAAUUCCUGGUGUAGCGGUGAAAUGCGUAGAUAUCAGGAGGAACACCUGUGGCGAAAGCGGCUCACUGGACCAUAACUGACGCUGAUGCACGAAAGCUAGGGGAGCAAACAGG
rnacentral:rRNA from 1 species